UACAGAGGUGGCAAGCGUUGUUCGGAAUCACUGGGCGUAAAGGGUGCGUAGGCCGCACGGUAAGUCAGAGGUGAAAUCCCGGAGCUCAACUCCGGAAAUGCCUCCGAUACUGCCGUGCUUGAGGACUGGAGAGGAGUCUGGAAUUCACAGUGGAGCAGUGAAAUGCGUAGAUAUUGUGAGGAACACUAGUGGCGAAGGCGAGACUCUGGACAGUUCCUGACGCUGAGGCACGAAGGCCAGGGGAGCAAACAGG
rnacentral:rRNA from 1 species